CACCUGACGGUGUGCUCCUGGUCAGCUCCGCCUGAGCCUGCAAGGACUCGUCCAGCUGCUGUCAGUGUCAGCGCCGGGGAUUAGCGUGCCCUCCUGGGGGAGUCCAGCUGACCGCAGCGCUGGAAGAAUCGGAAUCUCCAGACUGUCCUUGUUAGUUUCUUCUAAUGGUUCAGCAGCAGUUUGAUAUGAAUCCAGCAGAGGACUUAUCUGAGCAAUCUUGGAGGAAGGUACUAGCAUUACUUGCAUUCUUCAGAUGGGAACACUGAUACAGAGAGGUUCUAAGUCUUCAACAUGGCGGACAAAAUGAGCUUCCUCCUCUGCUCCUAGCCCUGUCGGUACUGCUGCCCGCCUGAGGCAAGUUCCUUCUCAUUUCUGGACCACACAGCUGCUUCCUUGGAUGGAAUCACAGACUUCUCCCUUCCCCAGGUCUACUGUACUUGAGGUGUCUCAGGUUGGGCAUGAGAACAGCUCCUUACUACUCCUUUGCUGAGUGAGGUGAUGCAUGAACCAAGGCCCCCGAGAGACCCCACGCCAGGAUCUCCAGCAACAAACAAGCCACUUCCCCAGGAUGGAUGGUGAGUGCUUCUUAUCAACACGGCAAGCCACUCGGCCUGGCUCCCGGAGGGCUGUUGAAUGAGGCAAGAGCCGAUCUCUCUCCACCUCCUUGCAAAGCUUUGCUCCUUGAUCUCCUCUACCUCCUGGUCCCAACCAGCCCUUAGGAAGUCACUGCUGGUCACAUCUCACAGAAUCACAGGCUCACAGAAGUACAGAACUCAACUGAAGAAGCAUUAGGUGUGUAUGAUACGCCAGGCCCUGUGGUAGGGCAGGGGAUACAGUGUAAACAAAAUAAAAAAGA